UACGAAGGGGGCUAGCGUUGCUCGGAAUCACUGGGCGUAAAGGGUGCGUAGGCGGGUUCUUAAGUCAGAGGUGAAAUCCUGGAGCUCAACUCCAGAACUGCCUUUGAUACUGAGAGUCUUGAGUUCGGGAGAGGUGAGUGGAACUGCGAGUGUAGAGGUGAAAUUCGUAGAUAUUCGCAAGAACACCAGUGGCGAAGACGGCUCACUGGCCCGAUACUGACGCUGAGGCACGAAAGCGUGGGGAGCAAACAGG
rnacentral:rRNA from 1 species